rnacentral:lncRNA from 1 species
CACACCCUUGUGGUGAAAUGCACCCCAACCUAAACAUAACAAAAAAAAGAAAGAAAGGAGGUAGAGUUUGAGUGAGACUCUAACCUCGCACGUUAAAAGAAGCAGUGCGAAAAUAUAUGGCAGUACAAGAAAGGCAUGCGGAAGUGAAAAAAUAGAGAAGGAUGGCACAAUGGGGAAGAGAAAAAAGAAAAGGUUCGGCUUCUUUGU